rnacentral:rRNA from 1 species
CCUACGGGAGGCAGCAGUGGGGAAUAUUGGGCAAUGGGCGCAAGCCUGACCCAGCAACGCCGCGUGAAGGAAGAAGGCUUUCGGGUUGUAAACUUCUUUUAAGGGGGAAGAGCAGAAGACGGUACCCCUUGAAUAAGCCACGGCUAACUACGUGCCAGCAGCCGCGGUAAUACGUAGGUGGCAAGCGUUGUCCGGAUUUACUGGGUGUAAAGGGCGUGCAGCCGGAGAGACAAGUCAGAUGUGAAAUCCACGGGCUCAACCCGUGAACUGCAUUUGAAACUGUUUCCCUUGAGUGUCGGAGAGGUAAUCGGAAUUCCUUGUGUAGCGGUGAAAUGCGUAGAUAUAAGGAAGAACACCAGUGGCGAAGGCGGAUUACUGGACGAUAACUGACGGUGAGGCGCAAAAGCGUGGGGAGCAAACAGGAUUAGAUACCCCUGUAGUC